CAUGUCUCUUUCUCGUUCUAUAGCUGUCCCUCGUCUCUUCCUUUCAUGUCCUCUAUCUGCUCACCAGAGGACAAUAUUCAAUCUCUGGGACUUUGGUAACUUGUGAUGACAUUUAUAAUGACCCUCACUUUUUGCUCCUUCUGGUGAUGGAUCCCCUGAGUUAUCUGUCCCUCUGCUGAGAGGUGAAGAUUACCUCAAUGAAAUGGACCUGUGAAGUGAUAACCACCGUGCAUUGUAGGCUACCUGGCUACUUUACAAAUGGCUGAAAAUAAACACAUUAGGGUAGAGUAGAGGUACUGUGCUCAACUGGCUUUGGUCCCAGACUCCGUCAAAGUUUGGAAUGCAGCUUUGUGUACCCUAUUGCUGAUAAGAAACUAAUCAAAAACAAAAAGGGAUAUCAAAGGGAGUCAAAGACCACAACGUAUAUCAACAUGAAUUCAUGAGCAAUUUAGCUUUUGCCAAAUAAAAUCACCAGUUUCACUUUUCAACAGACUGAUUUCAAUUUCUAAGAAAUCCAUGAUGUCUUUGUAAAUAUUACUGUCUAAAAAGAUAGAAGAGGUGACUUCUCUCGAUUUUUAUGUUGUUUCCAGGUUUCAUGCUCAUGAAUGAUGAAUACAAGGCAAAAUGUAGACAGUCAUGAACCCAACGGUAAACUAUUUGUGCAGACCUCCGAUGCCAGGUAAAAGGCCUAUUUGGUGGUCUUUUUAUGCCAACUCAACACUCUGUCUCGCAGUGCCCCGUCCCAUCUGUCAGUGGACCCUUUAGUGGCGGGGAGCACGGGGGUGGCAGGGGCUGAGAGCAGGGCAAUUGGGAUCAGUCUGUAUCUCACUGCCAUUAUCAGUUUUGCCCUGACAACACAUCUACUUUUCACUUUCACCCCAGAAAUAGGGGAGGCUGAGGGGGCCUUCACAGAUGCAGUGGCAAGAGCAGGAGAUGAUGGACAUGAAAAUGAGCUUAUUUUUUUCUACCCCCUUCACUGAGUGGAUGGAAGAAAUUGUGGUGUCAUAUCUUGUCAGAGCUUGUCAGAGCUUGGCUCCUGGCCAAGAGGAUCUUCAUGCUGAAGUUAAGCGACUGAAUGAUUUGGAAAGUGGACAGAGGUGCGGGCCAAGGGCCGCUCUUGUGAUCAUUGAUGACCGUAAGCCAGCCCAGGCCUCUAGUGAUAUGUGGGUCCUCCAAGCUCCGGUAGCCCCACCACACCACACCCUGGGGUGCAACAAAUAUCAGCAUUGUAAUUUCACGCCUGUGAUUAUUAUCGCGAGCUCUAUCUCUGACUGGGAAUCCUCCACCCAUCCUCUUUAGUCCUCCCAGCUGAGAUACUGUUUAACAGCCUCUCCCCUGGACCUGUGCUCCUAUACAGACACACACACACACACACACACACACCACACACACACACACACACGCACACACACAUUAUCAGACACACACUUCACACAAUCUUUUAAUGUCUGCCCUCCAUGGGCCCGUUUCAGGCUUUCUCAUUUCUUCUUCUCCCAUCUUCUGUUAAUUCACCACCAUCUGCCUCAGCAGCUGUUUGAGGAGCCAGAAAAAAGUGUCUGCCACGCCGGAGAAACUGAAUGCUUUUUCCUGCUCUUGUUUUUUGUGUGUGCUUCUUUUCUUGAUCUUUUACACUCUCGCCCAUUUAAAUGCCAGUGGCAGCAUCCUCUUCAGUCUUUGUCUGGCCUUCUGCUCCACCCCCUCUUCUGACUGGCACUGGUUUAGCAUAAAUAAACCUUGAUCCCUCCCCCUCACACUCCUCUAAACACACAACACACACACACACGCACGCACACACACAAACACACACGCACACCCACACGCAUACUUUGUACGUAAACUCUUCCUGUCCAGCUCAUCAUCCACAGGAAAAGGACAGUCACAUCCUCUCCAUUUCAAAGCACCUUACAGGCAAAGUAUUUUUCUCAUCACCAAAUAUUUGACAAAGAAAUACGACUCACCCUCUUAUGUUUUCAAACAAUCAAACUUUUUAGGAAAUAUUAUGGCUGUAAGAAAUUCAGGGAAAAGGUGAUCUCCAUGAGGAGGAUUAAAGGUGAUGCUACCUGCUCGUUACCGUCAACUCCACACCGUUAAUCCAUCCAUCCCUGCAUUAUAUUGCACUGCUUCCAGAGCCCUCUUACUCCCCGUCUUUUCUCUUCCACCUCCUGCCUGCUCUCCUAUCUCCCCUCUCUUCUCCUUUGAGGUUUUAAGCCACAAUAGCACUGUCCACUCCACAGCCGGCCUGAGCCACAGGAUCCGUCCCUGCCAGAAGAGAUUACAAGCAUUCUUGGGCCAGGCUGGAGUUGUCGGGGAGACAUGUGAUGCUGGGAGCUUUCUGAAAACACUUUUCUGUGCCUUUUAAUGGAGUUUGAGUUUUAUUGGUUUUGAUUGUUGCUGCAAUAUGGAGUUUGUAAACAAAACAUUAUUUGUGUUGGAGAAGAAGAACAAGCCUUACAUGUAUAUGUAUUACUUUAGCUAAGUGUUGAAAUUAGCACUUGACUGCAGGAAGUGAGCAUCCUCUUAUAGUUUACGAGUAAGAAACACACAUUUAGCAAUAAUUUGUGUUUAAUGUUUCUUGUCCUCCAUUGUAGAGGAACCAUAUUUUUUAUUUAUUUAUUGUUAGCUCAGGAAGGCUAACAAAGAUGUUGGUAAUUGCCUGCAAUGAGAGUGAUAUAAUAACAUUUUUUACUUUCUUUAUAACAACCAUAGCUGCAUUUUCCAUUUCAUCACUGCUUUGUUUAUAUUUUAUUGUAUUUGCAAAACGUAAUACUUAAGUUAACCAGGAAAAAGAUAAUGUGACAGGAGAGGUCAGAAAGCCACAGAAAAACAAACAAUAACACAAAUGGGAAAAGAAAUUACCGAAAAUAAUUUAGAAGAAUACAGCAACAAUCAGUCUACACAACCCAAUACAUACAUGAAAAACAACACAGGGAGAAAAAACAUAUACACGCACAUAUAUAUAUAUAUAUAUAUAUAUACAUAUCAAGAUAAUGAUGGUAUGAUUAUGACAGUAUAACAUUAUUUGUUUUAAACACAUCCUCCUGACCUUUUUUAAUUGGUCAACCCCUCUAUUUCUCUUUAUUUCUGCCUCUAGUUCUUGCAGUUUCUCCCUGUUGUGUUUACAUCUCGGGAGUGACAUGCAUCCUCUCAGGCCCACUGGGACCUGCACAUAUUAUUUAGCAGCUCUUACAGACGGCAUUAAACACCCUCCACUAACACUGCAGGCCAUGCCACAGGCUAGAGGUAUUAGUGUCAUCUAAUUAAAUACAGGCCUCUGCUCCCUGCUUCCCCUCAAGCCAACAUGGAUUGGACAGCUUUGUGCAAUAUGCUAAAACAUAUGGGACGAUGCUUGGGACGCUGAAUAGACAUGUGAUCUUUGACACUGAAGCCACUUUAGAUAAUUGUGAUUAUAAUUCAGUUUCUUCUUCUUCUUCAUCAUUGUACUAUUUGUGAUAUUAUCUGGUAAUUCUGUCUUUGGGCAAUGAUGUCCUCCCUCCCUCCCUCCCUUCCGCUCAUUUCCACAUUCUCUAUGGGGAGCUUUUGUCUGAUAAGUUGUCACAUUAAGUGCUAACUUUUGGGUGAUCGCUGGGCUUUUCUUUCUAUCUCUUUAUGGCCAGACCCUAAUAGCUGUCCUGCGGCAGCGCCCCAGGCAAUCAUGUUACAAAUAAACAGGCUGACACAGUCAUUUACUCAAAUCGUCCCUACACUAUUCACAACCCUCCCCUGGUGAUGAUCCUUCGAACAACAAUUAUUUUAAAUGUCAAAGAUCCAAGCCUUCGGGGCAUAGACAAAUGAACAUUAAAAAUCUAUUACCGAACACUUUAAAAUAUAUAUGUAGGCUUUUUUCAAAUUUCCCUAUCACAAGAUUAGAAUAAAGAGGGUCUGUGUAGCCACACUUAGAAUAAAAAUAAAUUUAAAAAAAGACCAAGCAAAUAUGAUUUAAUCAACAUCAAUCGUGGCAAAUUCUUUCCAUGUUUGACGCUGUAAUGUGGACAUAAGCCACCGGGGCUGCAGAAAGCUGGAAGGUGGUGGAGUUUGCCCACAGAGGUUUGUGUUUGUGUUUCAUCUCCUUGUUUCCUUUUGUUUCACGUGACUCCGUCCGGAGGGGUGGCCUCUGAUUUGCUGUCACACCGAGCUGUUCUACAUGACCUCUCCUCACCUCAUCUCGUCUCUCCGAGGACUCCCAGGAACCUUCGGCCGACCCUGCUGAUGAGAUGAAGAUAUUUCCACCUCAGCCAACUGAAACCUCUGGGCGAUAAUGGCUCUUGAGUAAUCACAGAAGUCAGAGUUUGACCUGUUUGAUUCUUUGAUUAUCACAUUUAAAGUUAAAUAAUUGCAGAAAUUAAGAAAAGUCAUGAACAAAAAGAAGAAAUAUUAAAUGUUUUAGAUAGAAAAUGUAUUUCUUUGUCUGCAGAGUUGCUUUAUUCAACAACUUCCUGUUUUGCCUUCUUGUAAGUGAAUUGUCCAGUUAAGAUAUAUAAGCUUGAUAUAAAAGUAUUGCUUGCA